rnacentral:rRNA from 1 species
AUUGAACGCUGGCGGCAUGCUUUACACAUGCAAGUCGGACGAGUGGCGAACGGGUGAGUAACGCAUCGGAACGUACCAAGUAAUGGGGGAUAACUGUCCGAAAGAACCGCUAAUACCGCCUAUUAUUCAAGCGGCCGAUGGCUGAUUAGCUGGUUGGCGGGGUAAAGGCCCACGAAGGCGACGAUCAGUAGCGGGUCUGAGAGGAUGAUCCGCCACACUGGGACUGAGGCACGGCCCAGACUCCUACGGGAGGCAGCAGUGGGGAAUUUUGGACAAUGGGCGCAAGCCUGAUCCAGCCAUGACGCGUGUCUGAAGAAGGCCUUCGGGUUGUAAAGGACUUUUGUCAGGGAAGCGGUACCGGAAUAGAAAGCCACUGCUAACUACGUGCCAGCAGCCGCGGUAAUAC